rnacentral:misc_RNA from 1 species
GAUGAAGAACGUAGCGAAAUGCGAUAAGUAGUGUGAAUUGCAGAAUUCAGUGAAUCAUCGAAUCUCUGAACGCACAUUGCGCCCUUUGGUAUUCCUUAGGGCAUGCCUGUUCGAGCGUCAUUUAAACCUUCAAGCUAAGCUUGGUGUUGGGUGACUGUCCGCUUCACGGCGGACUCGCCUCAAAAUUAUUGGCGGCCGGUACAUUGGCUUCGAGCGCAGCAGAAACGCGAACUCGGGCCCGUCGUAUUGGCUCCCAGAAGCUAUCUUCACAAUUUUGACCUCGGAUCAGGUAGGGAUACCCGCUGAACUUAAGCAUAUCAAUAAGCGGAGGA